GUGAUCUAAAACGAACUCAACCUCAACCAACAGAAAAACCCUGUUUGCACUCUGUUGCGUCAGCGUUGUGAAUCCGAUGAGCCACUUUAUAUUUAGAAUGAAAAUAAAACGUAUUUAUACACCUUUUAAAAGGCAAGACUUUUGAGUCUUUCUACUCUCUGGGUCAAGAGGAGGCCUUUGGGCUGAGGAGGCCUUCGGGCUGAGGAGGUCUUCGGGCUGAGGAGGCCUUCGGGCUAAGGAAAUCUUUGGGCUGAGGAGGCCUUCGGGCUGAGGAGGCCUUCGGGCUGAGGAAAUCUUUGGGCUGAGGAGGUCUUUGGGCUGAGGAGGCCUUUGGGCUGAGGAGGCCUUCGGGCUGAGGAGGCCUUUGGGCUGAGGAGGCCUUUGGGCUGCGGCUCUGGGUGACUGUGUGCCGGGAGUGAAGGGGAGCAUGGCAUGCAGGAAGAGUCUUUUGGCUGUCUAGAUGGACUCCCAGUGAACUGGCCUCCGCUCAGAGCCCCCCGCCCCAACUUCCUCCGUUUCCUCUCCCUGUCCCUGUUCUCCCUGUUGUUGAAAGCUCCUUUUCUAAAAAGACCCCCGAUCACGUCACGCCGCUGCACUUUGCCCCCUUUAGGUUCUUCCUCUGAUGCCUGACGUGUUGCCAAAGAGGUUUUCGCAGCGAUAGAUGUGAGUGAUUGGACAAAGAAAAUUAAUUUUUCAUUCACCGCAACUACAAUAUAUAUUUAUUUUACCACUUUAACAUGUUUUUUUUGUUGUUUGGUCAAAUUAAAGUUGAAGGGAAACACUUUUCUUGCUUUUCUUCUCUGCCUGUGUAUGUUUGUGUGGCCGGUACCAGUUUACACAGCUGGGAAGACAAAGCUGUCUAAACUCUGACAACACACACACACACACACACACACACACACACACACACAAACACAUACUUUUAUACACACUCGAGAUCCCCUUAGUGUGGGUCAACACAAACAGAACCUCUAAAAACAUCUCGGAUGACACAAUAGUAAAUGGUGUAUAACUGAGCAGGAUCCUUUGUUGGUACAUGAGAUUGAAAAGAAAACACAGCUGUGGAGGACGUAUCCUGAACCUUUCAAAAUAAAAUACGCCUCAGUCGUUGGAGAUGUAAUAGAACAAAAUGAUUGUAACUGCUUCUAUACGGACUAAACGGAUGACUGCAGUGGUGAAAAAAGCCCAAUAUCUGGUAUAAGUAGAAGUGUAUGGGAUUAUAAAAUGGACACUAACACUUAAUUAAGAUAGAAUAGUACCAGACUAAAUGUACACAGCUGAAAUCCGACAACAGAAGGUAAACAAUGGCACAAUGUUCCCAAUUACACAAACAACAUUUCUCACAAACUGAGGUGUUUCUUUUAUUAGAUUACGCACAACAACAGCUUGAGCUUCUCAGCUUUCACAACUCCACACUGCUCUCUGCUGGUUACCAUAGAGACAGAAACACACACUAUGGACUAUUUAUUUUUUUAAUGCUCUAAAAUGAUUUUAAUCACAUCUGAUUAUUGUGUUGUUUGUUUAGGAUCCCUUGGCUGCAGACACACACACACACACACACACACAUUCACUCAGUGAGCAGAGCCUGAGCAGCUCUUGUUGUCACUGAGCAGUUACUCAUUAUCAGUGUGAGGAGAGAUGCGUGUGGAUUGAUAAUAAAAACGGGAGAAGCGCGAUGCACUGUGAAUGUUUCAAGAACAAUGUUUGUUCUUCGCGGUUCCUUAAUCUUCCCAAACACAUUUACCCGCGUGCAUGUGCAUGUACGUGGGUAAAUGUGUGUGUGUGUGUGUGUGUGUGUGUGAGACCCCUCUCUGUCAAAAAGAACACGGCCUGACAGCAGCUCCGUUAGUCAGAGGCCUCGGCGCCACUGACUCACAUCCCCCGCUUACGCAACCUCGUCUCCUCGUUGCAUAAAACAUCAUCAAGUCGUCGGCAACGCAGACGAAUCACCGGCUGUUCCCUUUGAUGACUCAGAGUUUGACAUCCUCGAUUUAGCAUUUGCAUACCGCACUAAUAGGAUCAUCAGUAAAGAUAUGCAAAUGCGACUGGAAUCCAAUUUUUUUUAAAACCCGAUGUGGUCCAAAUUGUCUCGCUCUAUUUGCAUCACACUGACUAAAUGAUUAUACACGAUGGGAGAGUUCUCACAUGCACACACACACACACACACACACACACAUACAUAUGUAUACAUGCAUAUAUGUUUGAAUAAAUGUUGCCCUUUUCUUGACUUUUAUUGGGUCUCUAUAUUUAAGACGCUCAAACCAAACAGGAGAACUCUUCAGUUGAUCAUCACUCACGUGACUGAUUGCAGGCCGGUGGGGCUCUGUCUCCACCCACAGGUGGAGGGCUCGACAACGCAGGCUUCUUCAUCACUGACUGUAACGUGGAAGUCUGUGCAUUCAUAACCUCUUAUUUGGUUGUCAGUCUUUCUUUUACUACUUUCAGAGAUCCUGUAGAACCAUGUGCUGUUUGUAUCUUGCGCUUGCGAUUGAGCUCAGGUGUCACUACACGUGGGUUGUGACACUGCUGGAUCUUAACAAGCAGGAAACAUAUCGUCCGUAUCUUAAGUUCUCCAGGAAAUAACGCGUCUGACUGUUUAACGUCUCGCCAGCAGAGUGCGCUUUUUCACCAUCAAGUAAAACGGGCUCAACUUGACCACGUGUCAUUUAGGGUCACAAACAUCUGAUGAUGGUGAUUCCCAGUUGCCGUCACCAAUUAUUUGUGAACCUUUUUUUCUCCACGGAUGUACCUUUGGUGUCAGGUCAUUUGAAA
ensembl:lncRNA